rnacentral:rRNA from 1 species
UACGGGGGGAGCAAGCGUUGUUCGGAUUUACUGGGCGUAAAGGGCGCGUAGGCGGCCACCGCAAGUCGACUGUGAAAUCUCCGGGCUUAACCCGGAAAGGUCAGCCGAUACUGCGGGGCUAGAGUGCAGAAGGGGCAACUGGAAUUCUCGGUGUAGCGGUGAAAUGCGUAGAUAUCGAGAGGAACACCUGCGGCGAAGGCGGGUGGCUGGGCUGACACUGACGCUGAAGUGCGAAAGCUAGGGGAGCGAACGGG